CAACUCGAUUUUUUCUAUACUUUAUACCUUCAGAGUAUUAUUACACCCUGUAUUAUAGCAGUAUUUCAUUCUACGAGUAGCAUACAGCUCCUUGUCAAGAUCUCUGAUGGAAACUUAAAAACAAAAAGAUAUAAAAGAGCAAAAACUGCGCUCAUCUCCCAUGUAAGAGUAUUGUCUACUCUAUGGAAUAACUCCGCAGGCUUAAUAUUUGGUUGUGAGUAUAAUAUAUCAGUCCAAAAUUGGUACUCGAUCAUGACACCAUACAAAUUUAAGAAAUAUUUGAUGUUUCUCAAACUGCUUCGACUGAUUUCAAAGAAAUUACCAAAUGUAGGUCGUGCGACUGUUUGAAAAUGGUCAAACUGAAAUCCCAAAGGUAGGUAGCAGCAAUGUUGGUUCUACCAUUUUAAUGCACUAUCGUAGGACCUGAUAUUGCUAUCCCGUUUCAUCGUUGCGCUUAAACCUUUUGGUGCUCUCGUUGAAAGUACUUACAUAUAUCCGUUAAGUUUUUUGUGAACAUCCAUUCAAGGUUUAGUGAUGAUGGGUUUCAAGUAUUUUGUGUUGAGUUUGUAAUAGAACUGGGUAUUCACAGAGAAAGUGGAAAGCAGUUUCUGUUAUUCCGUUAUUCUAUCUAGCACCUGGGAUAUAUAUGGUUAUAUAUCCUCAAAAUUUACUAUAUAUCAUAUAAAUCGGCCAGAAUGUGAGAUAUUUCAAUUAAGCUAAACGGCAAAAUUUCUCUUGAUCCUUCCUAACUUGUAUAUAAAUAUUGAACUUCUUUUGUUUUAUCUUAAGAUAUAUAUAUUAUAUAUAUGUAUGUAUGUAUCAUCAGAAUAUAAUGCAAUCACCGCUUAAGGCAUUGUCUCAGCAUUUCUAAAUAUUACCAACAUUGAGAUCUUCGAAAAAAGUUGACAACGAGUUGGCAACAGCAACAUAAUAACUUCCAAACAAAUCCGUCAAAUGUCACAGCUUACUGUCGCCACAUAGCGGUUCAAUACCUUUGAUCUCUAAUACUCGUACAAACAGAAUUACAUACUUACAAAUGUAUUCACCUAUGCUCGAACGAAAUCGCGAAGGUACACUUGUUCGUCAAUUACGAGAAGCGAGCGCAAGACCUUUACUCGAAUAUAAAUAUAAACGGAAAAGAGGCAGAAAAAAUAAACGAGAAUAUCAAGAACACCGUAAUUGCUUACGAUCGUCGGCAACAUUUCAACUUGUUUUAAUGUAAUUUAUUAAACGACUCAAUAAGAUGAAAUAUAUGCUGGCAAUAAAAAUUGAUAUAAUACUUGAAAUACGUCAACUUCCCUACUUCAUUUGAUACGCUUGUAGGUGCUUAAGCUCAUUUAGAACUUCCUGCUUGCCGCCGGGCUUUGUCCUUGCAACCCAACUGCUGCUGCCACUCCACUCAGCCUGGUCACUCGUUUUUCAAUUUCAACUCAAAGCCACGACUGCCGGUUCUUUGUGCUUUUCUUGAACGCUUUGUGACAUUUUUUCUUACGACAAUUUGAUUCCGUUUGUUUUUCUGCUCUGUGCUCUCAUUUGCGGACGGCGCUUCGCUUUGCUGUGAUCAUUAAAUGUUUCAUUUGUCUCAAUAAAUUCUUUGCUAAUAAAGUAGGUUGAUAUAUUCUGUUGCUUUUGAUCGCGUGCGACAGUUAGUUUGCACGAGAUCACGAGAUUACUACCCUGAUUGAACUUUUCCAUAUUAGCUGUGAUAUGUACAUAUGUAAUUUAUGUAGGAAUGUGAGGUAUAAAUUUAUUCAGAAUUUAUUUAUGAUUGAAAAUGUUUUCAAUACGAAACUAUAAAAUUCUUUAAAAUAAAAUUGCUUCUCGAAACAAACAUUCGACUUUGAGGGUAUUUAAUAAUUUAGCCACUUUACUAACAUACAGUUUACAGUUCACAACAAAUUUCUUGCAAUUUUGGUACAAAAAUUGCAUAAAGUUGUGAGAAGAUCCCGGAGGUCUUUCUAACGUGAGAGGAUGCCACUAAAUGCGUUCAUUUUAUGGAAACGUGUUCCUUAUUACCCUGAGGUUAAGAUCCGAAUGAAGCGACUCUCUCCUUAAGCUGCAGCUUAGAUUGACUAUUACACCGACGAUGCAAACAGGGCAGAAAGUAUUGGCACAUAGUCGUGAGUGCACAUAUUGGGGCAAAUUUCUUCUGUUAAUGUAUUUGCAAUUUAUCUCUACAGCGACACGAUUUAUUAAGUUUGAUGUAAACAAAAGCCAAACAACAUCGCACCUUGGGAAAAUAAAUAGUCCUUCAGUAGGUUUAAUUGUGGCAUUGUAUAUAGGUAACUGCAGACUCUGGAACUAUUCUCCUCAGAAAACUAUUGAUACUGCGGCAAAAAAACAGUGAAGAAUGAAGACCACAAUAGACCAUGGAUUGCGGUGUAAACCCCAGUUUCCAUAUAUUAUAUUUUAAGCCAUGUACUCUAAAGAUGCCAUUUAUUUUAUUCACUAUAUAAGUUCCUGAAUAGUUUUUAUACAAAUUUGAUUCUAAAACUUCCUAUAUUCGCUAACCAAAUAAUAUUCCUAUAUAUCUCACUUAUUAAUCGUAUAUUCGUAUACGGUACGAAGUCAUCGUAGAUUCUUAACUUUUACAUAUACAAAGUUACAAAUAUUUCAAUAAAAGAAAAAGUGUGCAACUUGUUUCAUUUUUACAAAGAGCGUAUAUAAAA